UGGGCGACUGCUUCUUGAUACCGGCUGAUUUGGGGCCCUUUGGUGGCGGUGCAUCGUCGUCGUCGUACUCAUCCUCCUCGUUCUCGUCAUACUCCUCUUCGUCCUCAUCGUCCUCAUCGUCGACGAUGUCGCCAGUGUAGUAAAGCACUGCUUUUGGAAUAAUUCUGGCGCGCAAGAAGUGACCAAUUUCGAAGUCGGUGGCCAGGAUCUGCGAGGAAGCGAACACGGAUGAGCAAGUGGCCUUGCGGAAACUGUUGUUGGGUGAGCUUACCUGCUGGGAGUCGUCGUCGACUUCCUCCUGGUCGCUCGGGACCUCUGGUGGGCUGAAGAAAUUGAAGAAGGAAUCCGUCGGAACCUGCUUCACAAUGGUGCGCACUGCGCCGCGCUCCUUGUGCUUCUGCUUCUUGCGGAUGGUCUUCACAAAAUCCCUUGUUGCCCUCGAGAGUGCAGAUAGCUCACCGUGCACUUGUAGAUCUCUGGGCCUUCAAAUGCGAACGGAUCGUUGGGAUCCACGGUGGACUUCAAAACGUACUGCUUUGUGAGAACUGAGUUGGAGAAGUACUCGUUCUUGUCGAAGUGAAACUCCAAGGUGUACGAAUGCUAAUGAAUAAAGAAGCGGUUUAGACGGGCAGGACUACUAGAACUAUUGGCCAGCAAACUCACCCCGUUGUCGUACUUGAUGGAAAUAUCGAUUAGCUUGCGGAUGGCGGGCUCGUCGUGCGGCUGCACCAUCUCAGACAUUAUGGCCGUGUUGCGGAACACCGUCAGCCAGAAGCCGGGAAUGCCCUUGGCAUCCUUGGGAAUACUUUUCAAACUGCUCAGGGCCUCGCGGAAGUGCUCGGCAUCGGCCUCGUUGUCGGUCGACGACUCCGGUUCCUUCCACUGGGGCUUCUCCUCGGCGGGGUCCACCUUGCCCUCGAUGAUCUCCCUGCGCUUAUCGAACAACGGCUGGUACUGCACCUGGUACUUCUGCUCCAGCUUGUAGACGUCCUCAAAGAACUGGGCCUCGAUAUUCAGGUGCUGCAGCUGUAGGUUUUUCAGGAACACAAUCCGAUUCUGCACUGGAGCCGGCAGCAUCUUGACCAUUUGCUGCAGAUACUGUCGCCGCAUGACCGAGUUCAUGUAGGCGGGCCUGAAAAGUGGGUUGUGUGUGUCAUUCCCCUGAUUUUUUGCUUGCUUUCGCUUGCCAAAAUGUUGCCACCCCCUCUUUCUACUCACAUCGACUGGCAGUCCGAGCCGGACUUCUCGUCCUCGAUUUCGUUGCAGGACUCGGGGUCAACGUGUCCUUCGGCUGGGGCGUCCAU
rnacentral:lncRNA from 1 species